rnacentral:siRNA from 1 species
UCGAUAAACCUCUGCAUCCAGC